CCCGCCCACACGCUGGCCCCGCCCCCUUCGCCGGCACAGGAACCCCUACAGGCUCCAGAGGCCCUGAGCGCGCCCCCUACGAGGCUUGUUCUCUGGCGUCUCUGAUUGGCCAGCUCCCUUCGCGCAGACUAGCGUCCUUUCGGCUGCUGGGUAGCUCCUCUUCCCUCGCUGGGCGAGGCUCUAAAGCCCAUGUGCAGCACAUUGAGGAUCUUCCGAUCGGUCUUCGCUGAUGCUUUUCUCGUUUCCCUCUAAGGGCGAGAUCACUGGGAAAGGAGCUGAUGCUGGUGGAAUCUUCAGGUGAUGAAGAUGGAGACUCCAGGUCUGAGUCGGCUGGAAAUAAAAAGAGACUCCCUGCAUUAGAGACCAUCCACAGGGCAUCCUUGGAAGCUGUGACCUGAAGGUGGACAAGCCACAGGAUGGAAGGAGCUGCAUCUCUAAGUCACCAGUGAAGAACAGUCACCCUCAAUGGAGAAAACCAAAGCCAUCAGGAGGAACUCCACCAACAUGGAAUCCAACGUAUUGAUUGUUACGUCUUGCGGAAAUAUGGGAGACAGGUGACGAAAGUUCUGUCUUAAGGACUGGGAGGGUUUUGUUUGGUUUAGUAGCUGGAAGACAAAGAAAUAUGAGGCUUAAUAAGCUUUCUGAGUUCACCUGAUAAUGUGUGAGCUGUCAGUAUUUCAGACUAGCAUUGUCUUUGUGAGUUAUGUAACAAUUCAAAUAAUAUUUCACAAACCUUCAAAUGAGUUGAAACCUAAAUGUGUCAUAUUUGAUAACAAAAGCAGAAAGCAUAUUUAUAAUAUAGGAUGGCUCUCACUUUUUUUUGGAUAACAGUAUGAGAGGAAAAUGCAUUUGCUUGGGAACUUUUCAAUAUUUAGCCUAACAAUUCUAGCCAACACAGAAAUCUGCUGAUAUUAAAGUAAAAGCAUGCAUUUUGGGGAAAAAAAAUCGGGUGGUUGUCUUAGCUAUUUUAUUUCUUACACUUGUAUAUAAUAAAUAAAAAUUUAAACAAACUUGAGGGGAGCAUUUUAUUUCUACUCACAACUACUUUAACGUUAUGGGCUAAUCUCUUAAAUCAUAUAUAGUUUACAGCUUUAUAAGUUAGGAAAUUCUGAUAAAAUCAAUACAGUAAUAAAAUGAAAAUUCAUAAAUGCCCAUAACUUUGGAACAUAUUUUAAGAUACCAAUUCUAAAGGAGCCAAUAUCUAAUUUCAGAAAUACAUUAAUUGUAAAAUUAAUUAGGUCAGUUGAAAUAUUCUGGAAUUCCUUCAAACAAAACAAAUGAGUGACUAAAUUUAGUCAUACUAAGAAGUUUGAAGAAUUAUGCAGUAUAACAAAUGAUUAUUAUGAAUACAUAGUAAUCUAGGAAAAAUGGUUAAGUGGAAAAAGCAAAACAUAAAAUUGAAUAUGUACUAUGACAAACUAUGGAAAAUAUGUUUACAGAUUUAUAAAAAUUAGAAUUUAAUGUAGAUAAAAAGUUUUUUGAACGGUAGCCUUUUUCUCUAAAUACUUAGGAAUAGUGGACAUGAUUGUUAUUCCAGCUUUAGCCUCCUCUAAUUCUGUGGGCAGCUGCCAUCAGCCACAGGUCUCCCUCUGCUGGGCAAAUCUGGGGACACACGGACAAAUCCUCAUCCCAUAAUUCCUUCUCUCUUUGUGCUAGGUGAAUACUUCCCUUUGGGUUUCCAUGCUCUGCCCUCUUGAAGCCCUGACUGUGACACUGGAGUGUCACCCCUGGUUCACUUGUAGUCUAGACGUAUCAGCUCAUUGUCUCUAGGAAGGCUCCUGUUAGCUGCAAGUCUCAUUCUGAGUUUUACCUUUUAAAAUCAUUCUCAGUAUACAUCCUGGAGUAGACUCUAGGUGCGCUGGGUGCAACUGGGAAGGCCUCUGAUUUAUUAGUGGAGAUAGAGGAUGAGAAACAAUAGUGGGCUGGAGAAAGGGGGUUGCUGAGAUGGAGGGAAACUGCCUGGAAACUCAGAGAGGAUAGAGAUGAAAACAAGCAGCAUGUACUGAAUAUGCACAAAGGGGUUUUAAUCUAUCCUGUACCGUGGAAAGGUGAGCUCCUGCAAACAGUGAUAGUUUCUUUCCCUAAGAUAAGUUCCCUUUUUUUUUAAUUGAGAGUUUAACAGCAUUUCUAAAGGAAAUAUUGUCCUAUAAACUGGAGGAGGGCCAAAUUAGGAUUCCAACAGGAAAAAGUUAAAGCAAAAGGUUUAACUGGAAAGAAUAUAAUGAAAGGACUAUUUACAAAGGUACGGACAGGGCUAAAGGGAACCACAAGGGAUGAUGAGGCAGCCUGAGACCAGCAACAGUUGCAGUCUGAGAGCACCCUGUGCUGGGGAUGAAGAUCUGGUCUCUUCUGUCCUCUGCAGAGUGAUGCUGGAGCUAGGACUCUGCACAGCACACAUCUGCUUUGUCAGCAGCCUCCCGCUAGUCCCUGCCAAGAGGAGACACUGGAGGGCUGGAAGGGGGAGAUAGCACUUCCCAUUUACUACCUGUUUACUUUCUUGUUUGUGACAUCACCACAGCAAGUGUUCUUCCCCUUGGCAGCAAGAGUUGAAUCCAUUAACAGUACUCAGCUCCAAUCUGUAAACCUGUGCUCCUAAAGUCUGCCUGAUGGUGCCUCUACAGACUUACCAACACCAGUGGUCCAGCAUCUGCUCCUCAGAGGUUUGGGUCCUAGUUCUGGAAGUCUUUUCAAAGAAUCUUCUCUUUGUUCUCUCAACCCUAGAGGUGGUAGCUGCUUCCCACUGUUACUAUCUUUGUGAUACUUCAGGCCCCCUUUUGCCUUUUUUGUCCUUUAUAACUGAUUAACAACCAUUUACAUAAAAUUCUUUAUGGUGAAUUUCAGCAGACCGACACACCCUUAGACCUACCUGUGCCAUGUAUAUUGGACAUCUCAGGGUCUGUCACAGGCCAUCUACUCUUUUCGCUCUAUAGGAAAUCACAUUCAACAUAUGAUCUGACACCAUCCCUGCUCUCCAUAUCAGCUGCUCUUUCAGUGUUCCCAUUCUUCAUGAAGGAAUGUUCCGAUCACCUGCUUGCUCCAGUUAAAACCAUGGUAUUAUCCUUGACUGUGCCACCCUUCUCAUCCUCACAUCUAAGCUGUUGAUUCUACCUCCUAAUGAUCUCUUAAACCCAUCUAUUUCUAACUUCACUGCUACCCUCCUGCUCUAAUCAUAUAUCAUCUUUCCUGGCAUCACUGUGACUUUUUCUUGCCUCCAGUUCUGCCUCACUCAACCCAUUCACUCCACAGCUAAAUUGUGGAUGUGUGCUUCUGAACUAUCAAUGAAUGUAGCCAAAGAAACGUGUAAUAUAGAUCAAUGAUCCCAACACUAAGAAAACAAUGUUGAUCAAUAAAUAAUUGGUGAAUAAUGAAUGACAACAUAUAGCAAAGUAUUCAACAGGUUUUAUAAGCUGUGGGUUCAGUAAAUGUUUAUGAAACUUGUUCAGGGCCUUGAAAGAUGUGCAGUUCUUUGGAUUUUAAAGAAAAGGAGAGAAGAGAUUUCAGAUGAGAACAAAAAUACGUGACAUCAAACAAUAUUUGUGAUUGUUUUUUGGGGUGGGGGGCGUGUUACGGUGUGAAAGCUCCCAGCCUGGAUGGUUUUCAGAUUCAAGUGCUGAGGCCAGCGUGCAGCUGGACACCCAAGUCAUGGUCUUGGUCUCCAAUUCCAGUGAAGGCCUCAGGCUUGAAAGCUGCCAAGGGGCAGCUGUGCUCCUGGUGCCAGGCGUUGGGAAUAGGAGAAAGAACACUCCUUGGAAGUCUCACUGCCGUAAGAGGUGCCCUUCAGGUAUCUAAAGUCCUGUGUUAAGGAGGUCUUUGUGUUCUGGGGAAGGAGGCCCUUCUUGAUUGAUAGAACAAAGCUUUUAGGCAAGGAGCUGCACCACAUCUGGAUGUGAACCCAGGAGGCCUCCCUGAGAGCAGGCUAAAGCUCUCAAGGACAUUCAGGGAGACUUCCACCCUGUUCUGUGUGUACCUUCCUCUCCACGAGGAUGUGCUAAAGUGAAGAUACAAUUUCCCACGUGUUAAAGUAAGAUCAUAGACUAACUGCUUCCCAUGUUCUCCUUAGUCUCAAGCUCUUAACACUCUAGAUGGUGGUUAUUUCCUUCUCUCAGGGAACUUUGGGGCUCCUGGUCUUCAUGUGUAAAUAUGCUCUAUUAUCUUCCAAAGUUGCAAUGUGCAUUGAAAGUUCUAUGAGUCCUUCAAUAAAUGACUGACCCUAAGGGUAGUUGGGAAGCCUCCAAAUUUGCAAUUGGUGUCAGAAGUGAGGGCAGUCUUGGGGACUAUGUACUGUUCCUCUAACUUCAUAAGAAUAUAAUAAGAUCUUCAUGCCCUUGAGAUAGAGGAUGAUUUCUUAAAAGACAUAAAAAAAGCUCUAAUAUAAAGAAACAGUAUAAUUAGUUGAAGUAAAUUAAAUGAACUUUUAUUCAUCAAGAUAUCCUUGAAAGAGUAAAAGGACAAGUCACAGAGUAGGAGGAGAUGCCUGCAACACAUAUAUGGACAAAGAGCUUGUGCCCAGAAUUAGAGAAAAACAACUAUUUUAAACCAGUGAAAACCCAAAAAUAACCUGUUACAGACUGAAUUGUGUUCUUCUUGAAAUUCAUAUGUUGGAACCCUAACCUGCAAUGUGAUUGUAUUUGGAGAUAUAGGCCCUUUGGGAGGUUAUUAAGGUUAAAUGAGGUCAUAUGGGUAGGGCCCUAAUCUGAUAGUGCUGGUGUCCUUAUAAGAGGUGGAAGACACCAGAUUCCUCCCACUCUGUCUCCCCAGAUGCACAAAGAAGAGUGUACAUGAGGACACAGUGAGAAGGCGGCCAUCGGCAAGACAAGAAGAGAGCUCUCAUCAGAAACCAAAUCUGUCAGCACUUUGAUUUGGGACUUCUAGCCUCUGGAUCUGUGAAAAAAUAAAUCUCUGUUGUUUAAGCCA